rnacentral:rRNA from 1 species
GACGAACCGUGCGAACGUUGUUCGGAAUCACUGGGCUUAAAGGGAGCGUAGGCGGGCUAUCAAGUCUGGGGUGAAAUCCCGCGGCUCAACCGUGGAACUGCCUUAGAUACUGACGGUCUCGAGGGAGAUAGGGGCAUGCGGAACUGUAGGUGGAGCGGUGAAAUGCGUUGAUAUCUACAGGAACUCCGGUGGCGAAAGCGGCGUGCUGGAUCUCUUCUGACGCUGAGGCUCGAAAGCUAGGGGAGCAAACGGG